GCCGCGGUAAUACGGAGGGUGCAAGCGUUAAUCGGAAUUAUUGGGCGUAAAGCGCGCGCAGGCGGUUCCUUAAGUCUGAUGUGAAAGCCCCCGGCUCAACCGGGGAGGGUCAUUGGAAACUGGGGAACUUGAGUGCAGAAGAGGAAAGCGGAAUUCCACGUGUAGCGGUGAAAUGCGUAGAGAUGUGGAGGAACACCAGUGGCGAAGGCGGCUUUCUGGUCUGUAACUGACGCUGAGGCGCGAAAGCGUGGGGAGCAAACAG
rnacentral:rRNA from 1 species